rnacentral:rRNA from 1 species
CCUUCCGUUUAGGGGACCUGCGGAAGGAUCAUUACCGAGUUGAUUCGGGCUCCGGCCCGAUCCUCCCACCCUUUGUGUACCCACCUCUGUUGCUUUGGCGGGCCGCGGUCCUCCGCGGCCGCCCUCCGUCCGGGGGGUGGCCAGCGCCCGCCAGAGGACCAUCAAACUCCGGUCAGUGAACGUUGCCGUCUGAAAAACAAUCAAUAAACUAAAACUUUCAACAACGGAUCUCUUGGUUCUGGCAUCGAUGAAGAACGCAGCGAAAUGCGAUAAGUAAUGUGAAUUGCAGAAUUCAGUGAAUCAUCGAAUCUUUGAACGCACAUUGCGCCCCUCGGUAUUCCGAGGGGCAUGCCUGUUCGAGCGUCAUUACAACCCUCAAGCUCUGCUUGGUGUUGGGCACCGCCCUUCCGCGGGCGCGCCUCGAAGACCUCGGCGGUGGCGUCUUGCCUCGAGCGUAGUAGAAAACACCUCGCUCUGGAGCGCACGGCGCCGCCCGCCGGCCGAACCUUUUGAACUUUCUCAAGGUUGACCUCGGAUCAGGUAGGGAUACCCGCUGAACUUAAGCAUAUCAAAGGCGGGGAGGAACUCAAGGUUGACCUCGGAUCAGGUAGGGAUACCCGCUGAACUUAAGCAUAUCAAAGGCGGGGAGGAACU